UUAAUUGAAACCAAAAAGAGGUAUCUUAAUGUUAAUAAGAAAAAUGAAUUUAUAUUCCAAUUAAA
rnacentral:tRNA from 1 species